ACACUCUGAGAUAGAUCAAUCAAGCCGUUUGCGCCUCUUACCAGGUGUUAAUUGUUCAUGAAGACUGACUUAACCGAUGCGGGCCAUUUACAAACAGGGCAUACUUGAGUAAAAUC